ACACGCAUGACACACUGCAUAUCAAUAAGCGGAGGAAAAGAAACUAACAAGGAUUCCCCUAGUAACGGCGAGUGAAGCGGGAAGAGCUCAAAUUUGAAAUCUUCAAAGGGUUUCCCUUUACGAAUUGUAGUUUAAAGAAGUGUUUUCUGUUAGAGAGGUGGUAAAAGUUCUUUGGAAUAGGACAUCAUAGAGGGUGAGAAUCCCGUAUUUGAUCACUUUCUACUAACGUUGUGAUACACUUUCAAAGAGUCGGAUUGUUUGGGAAUGCAGUCCAAAAUGGGUGGUAAAUUUCAUCUAAAGCUAAAUAUUGGCGAGAGACCGAUAGCGAACAAGUACCGUGAGGGAAAGAUGAAAAGAACUUUGAAAAGAGAGUUAAACAGUACGUGAAAUUGUCAAAAGGGAAGCGUUUGACACCAGUGUUGUUUUUCCGAAAAUCAAUUAUGAAUGGCUUGAUUUUAAGUUUCAUGACCUUAAAAGCUUGUUUCUUAUUUUUCAUGUCUUUCGUAAUGCACUUUUCGGUUAACAAGUCAACAUCAAUUUCUUUUGUUGUAAAAGGUUAAGAGGAAGGUGGCUUUACUUUCGGGUAAAGUGUUUAUAGCCUUUUAACUCUGCAAUCGGAGAGAUUGAGGUCUGCGGCGUAGAUCCUUCGGGGUUAGAUACGUUUGUGCUAAGUUAUAGCUUUUCAUAGACAACUUGUUGACUAUGUUAAGUCUUGUAAUUUACUCGCAGAUGCUAUUUUACCUACGCUUAGGAUGUUGACUGAUAUGUAGUCGUA
rnacentral:rRNA from 1 species